ensembl:lncRNA
UUACCUGUGGUCCAAAAAUGCUGAGUAGAAAAUUCUUGAAGUAGACAAGUUUUAAAUUAUGCACUGCUUGGAUGCUCCUCAACAAGCGCCUUCCGCUGCUCGCUCAAGUUCAGCGAAUUCUUCCAUCAUCAGCUCCUCCUUCUGGUCCUCAACAAGCUCCUCGGUCUGCACCAUCGGUCUCCAGGCCCAGACUCCCGCUCAUGACACAACCUCCUCCACUGCCUGUGCCUCAGAGCCUUCACAGUCACGCUCAGUGACACACUCCGUGCAGUUUUCUCCAGGCCCGAUGGGGACACAGAGCUGUGUUACAUCAUGUCAGACGGCAAUCGACGCGCUGCUAACACAAGCUGACAAGAAGGCCCUAGCAAUCUGCUUAUCUGGAUCCUGCCCUUGCUGAGUAAAGGCCACUAUCAGAAUUAUUCACACGGAAUUACAGCAGCUGGGAGUCUGCAGAGUACUCAUUACAUCACCCUCAGAAAACUAAAGCAGGAAGAAAAUGGAAACUUCCUGUACUACACAGCGGAAGUUUUUGCCUGUUUUGCUGAUUAGGAUGAGACUGUCUGUUUCUGGCACUCAGCUGUCUGCCCUCAUGGGAAUGUCUAUGUGGCCCCUGCACCCGUGUCGAAACCGAAC